ensembl:lncRNA
GAGAAGAUAGAGGCCAUUCGAAGUUACCAACCUCCCACAACCAAGAAACGGAUCUCACAAAAGCCACCGCGCCCAACAAGGUGGUCUGGACAGAGCAGGGUGAGCGAGCCUUCCAGGACCUUCGAGAGGCAGUAUGUGGAGACUGUUCUGCUUAGCACAGAUUUCCAGAAGCCAUUCAUCCUGCAGACGGACGCCUCUGGAGUCAGACUGGGGGCGGUGUUACUACAGGAAGUGGACGGAGAUCGCAGACCGGUGGCAUUCUUGAGUCGUAAACUCUUCCCUCGGGAAACCAGUUAUUCGACAGUGGAACUGGAGUGCUUGGCCAUCAAAUGGGCCACGGAUUCACUACGCCCUACCAGUUUACUGUGAAAUACUGCCCGGGAGCCAGGAACAAGGUGGCUGACUUUAUGUCUCGUAUCCCAGAGGAGGAAAAGGCUAAAAUGGGGCUGUUGACCCCAGCUCUUGGAGGGGUGGAGUAUUGACACUUGGGACGACGGUGG